rfam:Mesocricetus auratus contig173496, whole genome shotgun sequence.
UUAGAAGAUGAAAUCAGGGAUGAUCUUUGGCUAAGCAUCACAUCACAAGGCUGACACUUAAGCUGCUGACAG